rnacentral:rRNA from 1 species
UACGGAGGGUGCAAGCGUUGUCCGGAAUCACUGGGCGUAAAGGGCGCGUAGGCGGCUAGGUAAGUAGGGGGUGAAAUCCUGCGGCUUAACCGCAGAGCUGCCUUCUAAACUGUCGAGCUUGAGCACGGUAGAGGCAGAUGGAAUUCCCGGUGUAGCGGUGGAAUGCGUAGAGAUCGGGAAGAACAUCAGUGGCGAAGGCGGUCUGCUGGGCCGUUGCUGACGCUGAGGCGCGACAGCGUGGGGAGCAAACAGG